rnacentral:lncRNA from 1 species
CAACUGCAAUAAGACAAAGUUAGAGACAGAUUGAUGGAGAAUACUGUUAAAGGGGUGGUCCACAGUGCAUUUUUAGGGCUUGGUUGUGUUCAUAAGAUGCAAAGCAAUGUGUGCUCAUGCUUCAUUUGUAGAAAAUCACGUAAUUUUCUCAUACAUCUUACUUUGAUUAUAUACAGCUACUCAGCUAACAUGAUAACAACUCUCAUAUUUCCUAUUUCCUCUAAAAGGCCCGCCCUCAAGAGCCUCUGAUUGGUCAGCUAACAUAAUGUGCUGUGAUUUGCGGAUCGGCAAUCUGAAGUGACAUAAAGAGGGUUGCCAAAUGUUAAAAAAAGGGACAAUAUUUAUUUGAAUAUUUAAAAACAACAACGAAAUUAGGAAUGUAAGUCAGGAAAUGUCUCUCGAUUUUAAUUCACUGUCAAUCUGAAGGGUAUUAAAGAGGGUUGCCAAAUGCUUAAAAAAAUGGGUCAAUAUUUAUUUGAGUAUUUAAAAACAACAACGAAAUUAGGAACUCAAGUCAGAAAAUGUCUCUCGAUUUAAAUUCUCCGUCAAUCUGAAGUGAAAUAAAGAGGGUUGCCAAAUGCUAAAAAAAACGUGUCAAUAUUCAAGUAUUUAAUAAAAACAAAACAACCAAGAAAAUGUAUUUAAGAAUGUAAGUCAGGAAAUGUCUCUCGAUUUCAAUUCUACGUCAAUCUGAUGUGACAUAAAGAGGGUUGCCAAAUGUUAAAAAAAGGACAAUAUUUAUUUGUGUAUAAAAAAAAAAAUGUAUUUAGGGUUGCAAGUCAGGAAAUGUCUCUCGAUUUCAAUUCUCCGUCAAUCUGAAGGGUAAUAAAGAGGGUUGCCAAAUGCUUAAAAAACAGGGCAAUAUUUUUUUUGAGUAUUUAAAAACAACAACAAAAUCAAAAUUAGAAACGCAAGUCAGGAAAUGUCUCUCAAUUUCAAUUCUUUGUCAGUCUAAAGUAAAAUAAAGAGGGUUGCCGAAUGUUAAAAAAAAAGAGGACAAUAUUUAUGAGUAUGAAAAAAACCUAACAAAAUGUAUUUAGGAAUGCAAGUCAGAAAAUGUUUCCUGAUUUCAAUUCUACAUCAAUCUGAAGAGUGAAAAAGGGUUGCCAAAUGCUUUAAGAUGGGUCAAUAUGUAUUGAGUUGAGUAUAAAAAAAACUAAAUGUAUUUAGGAAUUUAAGUCAGGAAAUGUCUGUCAAUCUGAAGGGUAAUGUAAAGGGUUGCCAAAUGUUUAAAAAAAAGGUCAAUAUUUAUUUGAGUAUAAAAUAAACAAAAACAAAAUGUAUUUAGGGAUGUAUGUCAGGAAAUGUCUCUCGAUUUUAAUUCUCCGUCAAUCUGAAGUGUAUUAAAUAGGGUUGCCAAAUGCUUAAAAAUGGCUUAAUAUUUAUUUAAGUAUUUAAAAACAACAACAACAAAAUUAGGAAUGUAAGUCAGGAAAUGUCUCUCGAUUUCAAUUCUCCGUCAAUUUAAGGGUAACUAAGAGGGUUGCCAAACGCUAAAGAAACGAGUCAACAUUCAAGUAUUUAAAAAACAAAAAAUUUAAGAAUGUAAGUCAGGAAAUGUCUCUUGAUUUCAAUUCUACAUCAAUCUGAAUGGUAAGAGGGUUGCCAAAUGCUCAAAAAACUGGUCAAUACUUAUUCAGGUAUAAAAACAAAACACAUUUAGGAAUUUAAGUCAGGAAAUGUCUCUCGAUGUCAAUACACUAUUAAUCUGAAGGGUAAUAAAGAGGGUUGCCAAAUGUAAAAAAAAUGGGUCAAUAUUUAUUUCAGUAUAAAAAAAAACAAAUACAUUUAGGAAUGUCAGGAAAUGUCUCUCGAUUUCAAUUCUUUAUGAAUCUGAAGGGUAAUAAAGAGGGUUGUCAAAUGCUUUAAAAUGUGUCAAUAUUUAUUUAUUUAAAAACAACAACAAAAUUA